AGAGACAGGGUUUCGCCAUGUUGCCUAGGCUGGUCUCCAACCUGGUCUCCUGGGCUCAAGCGAUCCGCCCGCCUCGGCCUCCCACAGUGCUGGGAUUCCAGGCGUGAGCUACCGCGCCCGGCCUAUUUACUUUUCUUACUAAGCUGGGGAUCACCGUCGCCCUCGGCUUGGCAGGAAGGCGGGGGUAGGGGAGCGGUGGGAAAGGGGGGUGGGCGACGACUCUGAUAGAGGGAAAAGAGGAAGGGAAAGUUGGGGCUUACUGCAGGGCAAGCUCCUUAGGAGAAGGUGGGGAGGAGGAAGGAGGGAGGUCCAGGCCCUUCUUCCAUCCCACGUCCUCCACUUCCCAAGGUGCAAGAAGAAAAGAGGUACAGAACACCCAGAGGUGCCCUCGAUUCCGUCUUGCACUUGCCCUUCUCCCACCGUCCAGCAAUAAAGCGAGAGAAACAAGUGCAGGAAACUGGCCGGCAGUCAUGGGAGAAGCCAAAAAGACAGGAGUUCAGUGGCAUGACCAGGGCUCACUGCAACCUUGAUCUGGGCUCAAGUGAUCCUCCUACCUCAGCUUCCUGAGUAGCUAGGACCACAGCCCUGGCUCCUGUGGCUAGAGCCCUGGUGCCCACAGCUCAACCUGGACCUGUCCACCCUUGAAGGGCUCAUGAUGCAGCAUCAGGGAGUCCCAGAUCGAGCCGCUGACACCUCCAAGUCGGCUGCAGCUGUGCAUCCGCUCAGACCACAAGACUCAAUGGAGGAUGCUGACCUCUCUUUGUUCUCCCAACGAGUACUAGGCAAGGAGGGAAGGAAG
rnacentral:lncRNA from 10 species